GACAAAUGAAAUAAAAACAACUGUUUUCCAGUUAAAGAAGACUAAUAUGUCCCACUUUGUUGAACUUAUGGCAUCCCAUAUUUAAUCUGUACAGCACUAAAUUCAGGAUUUGUCUAAAGAUAUUGGUUGCCUCAAUCACCAAAGCUCACCACUAAGAAUUUAAAUUAAAACCUAAUUUGUAAAAUGGCAAAUAACUCACCCGCAUAAGUUAUAGGAUAUUGGUUUGGGAUUGAAUCUAUACCUCCAAUAUG
rnacentral:misc_RNA from 1 species